AGAAUAAUAGUAUGUUAAUGGUUCUUGAAAAGUUUAAAGAAGAGGAGGUGAAACAAGUAGACUGUAUGCUGAAUAUAGAUUGCUGAAACAAUAGUAUGAGAAUAAUAGUAUUAUUGUUUUGUAUUUACUUAAUGAAAUAUCAUUUCUACAACAUUGUUAAUUCUUUUUUUGAAUAUAGAUUGCUGAAACAAGUAGACUGUAUGCUUAAGAGAAAGAAGAGGAGGUGAAAUUAUAUGAGAUUUCUGUUGAAGAGCUGGAUUGUAUGGUGAUUGUCCUUGAAAACCAGGUUGACAUGGUCAAAGGAGAUGCUGAAAGGCAACGAUUGCAAAGGGAAGAGCUAGAACUAGAGUUUCAUGCUUUUAAACAACAAAUCAACCAAGUCAAAACUAGUGAUUAAGACAUAAAAAGAGCUUUGAAUGAAAAAGAAAAAAGUCUUCAAGAGUCCCUUCAGCGGGUUGAACUUCUUGAAAAAGAGAUUGCCAACAAAGAUAAAGUGAUUGUCCAACAUAAAGCUCACAUUUCCGAGCUUAAUCUACAUGUUGAAGCUCAAGAUAGAGAAUACAAACAAACGGUAAACAAUAGUUAGAUUUUUUUUGAUUAAAUUCUUGAUAUUUUUUUACAAUCUUAACUUCAAAAAACAGUUUAAAGCAUUGGAGGCAAUGGCUGUUGCUGACCAAGUCAAAUCAAAUGUUUUUGUUUCCCACAUCUCAAAUUCACCAUCAAAGAAACUAGAAAAGAAUGAAUCAAGAACAAGAGGUUAUGGUUCCCCUUUUUAAUGCAUAAGAAUAGGAUUAGCACAACAAAUAAAGUCUGAGAGAGAUGAAGAGCUUACUACUGCAAGAAAGCGAAUUGAAGAGCUUGAAGCAUUGGCUGCAAGUCGCCAAAAAGAGGCAUAAAUUUCAAAU